rnacentral:rRNA from 1 species
GAGUGGCGAACUGGUGAGUAACACGUGGGAAACCUGCCCAGAAGCGGGGGAUAACACCUGGAAACAGAUGCUAAUACCGCAUAACAACUUGGACCGCAUGGUCCGAGCUUGAAAGAUGGCUUCGGCUAUCACUUUUGGAUGGUCCCGCGGCGUAUUAGCUAGAUGGUGGGGUAACGGCUCACCAUGGCAAUGAUACGUAGCCGACCUGAGAGGGUAAUCGGCCACAUUGGGACUGAGACACGGCCCAAACUCCUACGGGAGGCAGCAGUAGGGAAUCUUCCACAAUGGACGAAAGUCUGAUGGAGCAACGCCGCGUGAGUGAAGAAGGGUUUCGGCUCGUAAAACUCUGUUGUUAAAGAAGAACAUAUCUGAGAGUAACUGUUCAGGUAUUGACGGUAUUUAACCAGAAAGCCACGGCUAACUACGUGCCAGCAGCCGCGGUAAUACGUAGGUGGCAAGCGUUGUCCGGAUUUAUUGGGCGUAAAGCGAGCGCAGGCGGUUUUUUAAGUCUGAUGUGAAAGCCUUCGGCUCAACCGAAGAAGUGCAUCGGAAACUGGGAAACUUGAGUGCAGAAGAGGACAGUGGAACUCCAUGUGUAGCGGUGAAAUGCGUAGAUAUAUGGAAGAACACCAGUGGCGAAGGCGGCUGUCUGGUCUGUAACUGACGCUGAGGCUCGAAAGUAUGGGUAGCAAACAGGAUUAGAUACCCUGGUAGUCCAUACCGUAAACGAUGAAUGCUAAGUGUUGGAGGGUUUCCGCCCUUCAGUGCUGCAGCUAACGCAUUAAGCAUUCCGCCUGGGGAGUACGGCCGCAAGGCUGAAACUCAAAGGAAUUGACGGGGGCCCGCACAAGCGGUGGAGCAUGUGGUUUAAUUCGAAGCUACGCGAAGAACCUUACCAGGUCUUGACAUACUAUGCAAAUCUAAGAGAUUAGACGUUCCCUUCGGGGACAUGGAUACAGGUGGUGCAUGGUUGUCGUCAGCUCGUGUCGUGAGAUGUUGGGUUAAGUCCCGCAACGAGCGCAACCCUUAUUAUCAGUUGCCAGCAUUAAGUUGGGCACUCUGGUGAGACUGCCGGUGACAAACCGGAGGAAGGUGGGGAUGACGUCAAAUCAUCAUGCCCCUUAUGACCUGGGCUACACACGUGCUACAAUGGAUGGUACAACGAGUUGCGAACUCGCGAGAGUAAGCUAAUCUCUUAAAGCCAUUCUCAGUUCGGAUUGUAGGCUGCAACUCGCCUACAUGAAGUCGGAAUCGCUAGUAAUCGCGGAUCAGCAUGCCGCGGUGAAUACGUUCCCGGGCCUUGUACACACCGCCCGUCACACCAUGAGAGUUUGUAACACCCAAAGUCGGUGGGGUAACCUUUUAGGAACCAGCCGCCU